UUUCGGUAGGUGAACUUGCGGAAGGAUCAU
rnacentral:rRNA from 1 species